rnacentral:misc_RNA from 1 species
GAUGAAGAACGUAGCGAAAUGCGAUAAGUAGUGUGAAUUGCAGAAUUCAGUGAAUCAUCGAAUCUUUGAACGCACAUUGCGCCCCUUGGUAUUCCAUGGGGCAUGCCUGUUCGAGCGUCAUUUGUACCCUCAAGCUUUGCUUGGUGUUGGGUGUUUGUCCCGCGUUGCGCGUGGACUCGCCUUAAAGCGAUUGGCAGCCGGCAUAUUGGCCUUGGAGCGCAGCACAUUUUGCGCUUCUAGUCUUGAAUGUUGGCGUCCAUUAAGCCUAUACAUUUGCUCUUGACCUCGGAUCAGGUAGGGAUACCCGCUGAACUUAAGCAUAUCAAUAAGCGGAGGA